rnacentral:rRNA from 1 species
UACGUAGGCAGCAAGCGUUGUUCGGAGUUACUGGGCGUAAAGGGUGCGUAGGCGGUUGUUUAAGUUUGGUGUGAAAUCUCCCGCUCAACCGGGAGGGUGCGCCGAAUACUGAAUGACUAGAGUGCGGGAGAGGAGAGUGGAAUUCCUGGUGUAGCGGUGAAAUGCGUAGAUAUCAGGAGGAACACCGGUGGUGUAGACGGCUCUCUGGACCGUAACUGACGCUGAGGCACGAAAGCGUGGGUAGCAAACAGG